GCCGAACCACAGUCCUUGCAGGUCUCGUGGAAUGUGGCGUUUGGGAGAGUCUUCUCGUGGUGUGGACGGCCAGUCAAAGUCCAACUUGACAGUGGCCAUGGCCCAUAGAGGGUGAUAGGCCCGUAAGGCGGCUGUCCUGCUACGCUGACUUUUCCCUAGAGUCGGGUUGCUUGGGAGUGCAGCCCAAAGUGCGAGGUAAACUCCUCGUAAGGCUAAAUAUGACCCCGAGACCGAUAGCAAACAAGUACCGUGAGGGAAGAUUGAAAAGAACUUUGAAGAGAGAGUUCAAGAGUACGUGAAACUGUGUGGUGGUAAACGGAGGGGUUCUCGAAGUUUCCAGGGGGGACUCAACCUUGGUGGUUAUGGGUCAGGGUGUAUGUGAUCAGCAAUGACACUGCGCCUCGUCCCCACAACCUCCCGGACGCACUUUCCCCUUGGUUGACGGCAGGAACCGUUAGGAGUGGACCGAAGGCCUGAGGUGAAGUUGUUGGUUAUGCUGGCAGCCCUUGGUGUCCUGGCUUCACGCCUGACGGGUACUUGAGCAAACUUGUAUAGCAAGUGGCAUACUCUGCCACGGUUUGCAUUUCUCUGCCGAGUAGGUCGGUGGCCCCUCCGACCCGUCUUGAAACACGGACC
rnacentral:rRNA from 1 species